UGGUAGACCUGAGAAUUCUUGGGACAUAAAUUAUAUUUAUUUUAGACAUAAAACUUUCUAGCUCUAAGCAGAAAAAGAAAAGUCUUUUUUACUUUAUAAAGAAAGGUCAUUUUCUGCCAGAAUGUUGGGAAACAACUGAGUCCAAGUCCCGAGGCUCUGCUGUCCACCUGCCAACUUUCUCUAGAAUGUUGUCAGUGCCUUCCUGGCCCUAGACCAACAAGCCAUUUCUCAGUUCUGAUCUGAGCUUAAAGACAAACACGAGGCUCCAUUACAGGCUGCAUUCUCCAGUGAGUCUGUCCACCUGCUCCAGAUCAAUGCGGCUCCCAGUCUUGGUCCAUCAGAGAAGCUUUCUGUGCAGGGCAGCAGUCAAUGCCGAGGAUCCUAACGGACCCAACAAAGUGCUGAGAGUUAGAGACUGAGUUCUCAGCCCUAUGUCCGUAUCAAUAUAAUCACCCUUCUCACCAAGCUCAGGGAGCAGUGACAGAAGAGGCCCUGGAAAGACUGAAGGAGCUAGAGGACAGGAAGGAGUGCUGUGACACGCCACCUCAUGGAUGUGACUUACUGCUGCACUCAUGAGCUCGCUGCAGCUGGGAUUGCCUGUACAAGAUUCAAGCCCGGCACCUUCCAACAGGGUUGGAAGAGGGACUCAGGAGGCCCUACCCCUAGCUGAGG